AACCAUAGAAACCUGCGGAGUACCUGCGGAGGGAUCAUUAAAAAGAGUGUGUACCCCCCUGUAAAAUGGGUGGGUUACCUCCCGUCCUUUGUUGACCUCUUAGGAGGUUAUUUUGAACUUUUCUGCUUCGGUGGGGUUAAACCUACCGGAACACCCUCAAAUUCUGAUCAUUUAAAAAUUGUUCAGUCCGAUUUUUGUUAAUAAAAACAAAAAACUUUUAACAACGGAUCUCAGAUCGGA
rnacentral:misc_RNA from 1 species